GAGCAAGGUAGAGGGAGUUUUGAGAGACACACAGGGAAGGUGACAUGAACAUGAAGCAGGGAGAAAUGUGGCCACUAGCUGAGGAAUGCUGACAGCCCCCAGAAGCUGAAAAGCAAGGAAUGGACUCCCCGCUAGAGACUUGGGAAAGAGGGCAGCCUGCUGACACCUUGACCUCAAACUUUUGGUCUCCAGAACUGUUUUACACUGCCGAUCUGAAAUGAAAUUGCAGCCUUCCAUAAUGAGCAAGUGAGGCUCAGAGGCAGAAUGGAUUGAGCUUCACCAAUACCUGUCACCGGCAGUCACGGACCCUUUGAAACGACAAAUGGCAGAGUAUUAUAUUGCUGAGGCAUCUAUGGUAGACGUUAGAAUGUGAGUACCUUUGACCAAGAGCCCAGCUCUUGUCAUCCAUCACAGAGAUCCACCAAGACCAUGCUUUCUGCUGCUCCCUGGGACAUUUCUCAGUGACUGCUUGUGGGAAGGACACCAUGGCAGCCCCAUUCCUGAGAGACACAGGGCUUCUUUGACUUUGCUGGAGGACUCCUAGGUGACCUGGACAAAUCUCCCUGAGACCUAACAGCAAUUAGGUAAUGUCAAUCCAAUCUUCCUUUCUUCUUCCUUUUUCACUUGAUGGGAUUUGCAUUGUGGUCUGAGGGCUCUCCCAGCCUUUCCAGUCUUCCUUUCCAUUUUCUCUCAAAAGCAUUUCCCCUAAGAAAUUCUUUCCACGUUGGAACUGACCUUAGCAUCUUCUCAGAGGACUCAGUCAAAAAUAACAUUCACACUGUUGCAUAUAACUGAAAUUUAUUGUUUUAACUAUUCAAUUAUAUGAGUAUAAUGUCCAGUGAUGAGUGUAGAUAAAUACAUUGUCAUAUAUUCAUGACUGCAUGUACCCAUUGUUUCUAGAUUUUACCAUUAUGAAGAACAUUGCUAUUAACAUCCCUGUAUAUGUUCAAUAAUUUGCCUUGGAUAUUUAUCCAGAAAUGAA
ensembl:lncRNA